rnacentral:rRNA from 1 species
CGCAUCUGUGCAUGCAGCAUAUCAAUAAGCGGAGGAAAAGAAACUAACAAGGAUUCCCUUAGUAACGGCGAGUGAAGCGGGAAGAGCUCAAAUUUGAAAUCUUCAAGGUUUUACCUUGACGAAUUGUAGUUUAAAGAAGUGUUUUCUGUUGAAGUUUUGGUAAAAGUUCUUUGGAAUAGGACAUCAUAGAGGGUGAGAAUCCCGUAUUUGACCAUUAUUUUCAGCUGUGUGAUACACUUUCAAAGAGUCGGAUUGUUUGGGAAUGCAGUCCAAAAUGGGUGGUAAAUUUCAUCUAAAGCUAAAUAUUGGCGAGAGACCGAUAGCGAACAAGUACCGUGAGGGAAAGAUGAAAAGAACUUUGAAAAGAGAGUUAAACAGUACGUGAAAUUGUCAAAAGGGAAGCGUUUGACACCAGUGUUGUUUUCUCGAAAAUCAAUUAAAAAGAGUUAGAUUUUGUUGUGUAUUGACCUUAACAGGCUUGCAUUUCAAUUUUCUUGCUUUUUUUAAUGCACUUUUCGUUUAACAAGUCAACAUCAGUUUCUUUUGUUGUAAAAAGGUCAUUGGAAGGUGGCUUUCUUUUCGGAGAAAGUGUUUAUAGCCUUUGACUCCUGCAAUCGGAGAGACUGAGGUCUGCAGCGUAGAUCCUUCGGGGUUAGAUACAUUUGUGCUAAGUUAUAGCUUUUUAUAGACAACUUGUUGACUAUGAUUAGUCUUGUAGCUUACUCGCUUAUGCUAUUUUACCUACGCUUAGGAUGUUGAUCUGUAGUGCGUGCG